rnacentral:rRNA from 1 species
GAUGAACGCUAGCGGCAGGCUUAAUACAUGCAAGUCGUGGGGCAGCAGGUCUGUAGCAAUACAGAUGCUGGCGACCGGCAAACGGGUGCGGAACACGUACACAACUUUCCUUUAAGUGGGGAAUAGCCCAGAGAAAUUUGGAUUAAUACCCCGUAACAUAGUGAAAAGGCAUCUUUUUAUUAUUAUAGCAGCAAUGCGCUUAAUGAUGGGUGUGCGUCUGAUUAGGUAGUUGGCGGAGUAAUAGCCCACGAAGCCUACGAUCAGUAACUGGUGUGAGAGCACGACCAGUCACACGGGCACUGAGACACGGGCCCGACGCCUACGGGAGGCAGCAGUAAGGAAUAUUGGGCAAUGGACGCAAGUCUGACCCAGCCAUGCCGCGUGGAGGAUGAAGGUCCUCUGGAUUGUAAACUUCUUUUAUCUGGGAAGAAAUCCAUCUUUUCUUGGGUGGUUGACGGUACCAGAUGAAUAAGCACCGGCUAACUCCGUGCCAGCCGCCGCAGUAA